UGAGUAACCUGCCCUGGACUUUGGGAUAACCCUCGGAAACGGGGGCUAAUACCGGAUAUGACGGCUCACCGCAUGGUGUGGUUGUGGAAAGUUUUUCGGUCUGGGAUGGGCUCGCGGCCUAUCAGCUUGUUGGUGGGUGAUGGCCUACCAAGGCGACGACGGGUAGCCGGCCUGAGAGGGCGACCGGCCACACUGGGACUGAGACACGGCCCAGACUCCUACGGAAGGCA
rnacentral:rRNA from 1 species